UACGAAGGGGGGCUAGCGUUGUUCGGAAUUACUGGGCGUAAAGCGCGCGCAGGCGGUCUUCCAAGUCAGUGGUGAAAGCCUGGAGCUCAACUCCAGAACUGCCAUUGAAACUGUUAGACUUGAGUACGAGAGAGGUGAGUGGAAUUCCCAGUGUAGAGGUGAAAUGCGCAGAUAUCAGGAGGAACACCGGUGGCGAAGGCGGGUCUCUGGGCAGUAACUGACGCUGAGGAGCGAAAGCGUGGGGAGCGAACAGG
rnacentral:rRNA from 1 species